rnacentral:rRNA from 9 species
AAAUUGAAGAGUUUGAUCAUGGCUCAGAUUGAACGCUGGCGGCAGGCCUAACACAUGCAAGUCGAACGGUAGCACAGAGAGCUUGCUCUCGGGUGACGAGUGGCGGACGGGUGAGUAAUGUCUGGGAAACUGCCUGAUGGAGGGGGAUAACUACUGGAAACGGUGGCUAAUACCGCAUAACGUCGCAAGACCAAAGAGGGGGACCUUCGGGCCUCUUGCCAUCAGAUGUGCCCAGAUGGGAUUAGCUUGUUGGUGAGGUAACGGCUCACCAAGGCGACGAUCCCUAGCUGGUCUGAGAGGAUGACCAGCCACACUGGAACUGAGACACGGUCCAGACUCCUACGGGAGGCAGCAGUGGGGAAUAUUGCACAAUGGGCGCAAGCCUGAUGCAGCCAUGCCGCGUGUAUGAAGAAGGCCUUCGGGUUGUAAAGUACUUUCAGCGGGGAGGAAGGUGUUG